rnacentral:rRNA from 1 species
AUACGGAGGGUGCAAGCGUUAUUCGGAAUCACUGGGCGUAAAGGACGCGUAGGCGGGUUGGCAAGUCAGAUGUGAAAUCCUACAGCUUAACUGUAGAACUGCAUUUGAAACUACUAACCUAGAGUAUGGGAGGGGGAGAUGGAAUUAGUGGUGUAGGGGUAAAAUCCGUAGAUAUCACUAGGAAUACCGAAAGCGAAGGCGAUCUCCUGGAACAUAACUGACGCUAAGGCGUGAAAGCGUGGGGAGCAAACAGGAUUAGAAACCCCAGUAGUCC